GGUUAAGCGACUAAGCGUACACGGUGGAUGCCCUGGCAGUCAGAGGCGAUGAAGGACGUGCUAAUCUGCGAAAAGCGUCGGUAAGGUGAUAUGAACCGUUAUAACCGGCGAUGUCCGAAUGGGGAAACCCAGUGUGUUUCGACACACUAUCAUUAACUGAAUCCAUAGGUUAAUGAGGCGAACCGGGGGAACUGAAACAUCUAAGUACCCCGAGGAAAAGAAAUCAACCGAGAUUCCCCCAGUAGCGGCGAGCGAACGGGGAGGAGCCCAGAGCCUGAAUCAGUGUGUGUGUUAGUGGAAGCGUCUGGAAAGGCGCGCGAUACAGGGUGACAGCCCCGUACACAAAAAUGCACAUGCUGUGAGCUCGAUGAGUAGGGCGGGACACGUGGUAUCCUGUCUGAAUAUGGGGGGACCAUCCUCCAAGGCUAAAUACUCCUGACUGACCGAUAGUGAACCAGUACCGUGAGGGAAAGGCGAAAAGAACCCCGGCGAGGGGAGUGAAAAAGAACCUGAAACCGUGUACGUACAAGCAGUGGGAGCCCUGAUUUAUCAGGGUGACUGCGUACCUUUUGUAUAAUGGGUCAGCGACUUAUAUUCUGUAGCAAGGUUAACCGAAUAGGGGAGCCGGAGGGAAACCGAGUCUUAACUGGGCGUUAAGUUGCAGGGUAUAGACCCGAAACCCGGUGAUCUAGCCAUGGGCAGGUUGAAGGUUGGGUAACACUAACUGGAGGACCGAACCGACUAAUGUUGAAAAAUUAGCGGAUGACUUGUGGCUGGGGGUGAAAGGCCAAUCAAACCGGGAGAUAGCUGGUUCUCCCCGAAAGCUAUUUAGGUAGCGCCUCGUGAAUUCAUCUCCGGGGGUAGAGCACUGUUUCGGCAAGGGGGUCAUCCCGACUUACCAACCCGAUGCAAACUGCGAAUACCGGAGAAUGUUAUCACGGGAGACACACGGCGGGUGCUAACGUCCGUCGUGAAGAGGGAAACAACCCAGACCGCCAGCUAAGGUCCCAAAGUCAUGGUUAAGUGGGAAACGAUGUGGGAAGGCCCAGACAGCCAGGAUGUUGGCUUAGAAGCAGCCAUCAUUUAAAGAAAGCGUAAUAGCUCACUGGUCGAGUCGGCCUGCGCGGAAGAUGUAACGGGGCUAAACCAUGCACCGAAGCUGCGGCAGCGACACUGUGUGUUGUUGGGUAGGGGAGCGUUCUGUAAGCCUGCGAAGGUGUGCUGUGAGGUAUGCUGGAGGUAUCAGAAGUGCGAAUGCUGACAUAAGUAACGAUAAAGCGGGUGAAAAGCCCGCUCGCCGGAAGACCAAGGGUUCCUGUCCAACGUUAAUCGGGGCAGGGUGAGUCGACCCCUAAGGCGAGGCCGAAAGGCGUAGUCGAUGGGAAACAGGUUAAUAUUCCUGUACUUGGUGUUACUGCGAAGGGGGGACGGAGAAGGCUAUGUUGGCCGGGCGACGGUUGUCCCGGUUUAAGCGUGUAGGCUGGUUUUCCAGGCAAAUCCGGAAAAUCAAGGCUGAGGCGUGAUGACGAGGCACUACGGUGCUGAAGCGACAAAUGCCCUGCUUCCAGGAAAAGCCUCUAAGCAUCAGGUAACAUCAAAUCGUACCCAAACCGACACAGGUGGUCAGGUAGAGAAUACCAAGGCGCUUGAGAGAACUCGGGUGAAGGAACUAGGCAAAAUGGUGCCGUAACUUCGGGAGAAGGCACGCUGAUAUGUAGGUGAAGCGACUUGCUCGUGGAGCUGAAAUCAGUCGAAGAUACCAGCUGGCUGCAACUGUUUAUUAAAAACACAGCACUGUGCAAACACGAAAGUGGACGUAUACGGUGUGACGCCUGCCCGGUGCCGGAAGGUUAAUUGAUGGGGUCAGCGCAAGCGAAGCUCUUGAUCGAAGCCCCGGUAAACGGCGGCCGUAACUAUAACGGUCCUAAGGUAGCGAAAUUCCUUGUCGGGUAAGUUCCGACCUGCACGAAUGGCGUAAUGAUGGCCAGGCUGUCUCCACCCGAGACUCAGUGAAAUUGAACUCGCUGUGAAGAUGCAGUGUACCCGCGGCAAGACGGAAAGACCCCGUGAACCUUUACUAUAGCUUGACACUGAACACUGGUCCUUGAUGUGUAGGAUAGGUGGGAGGCUUUGAAGUGUGGACGCCAGUCUGCAUGGAGCCGUCCUUGAAAUACCACCCUUUAAUGGCUGGUGUUCUAACGUGGGCCCGUAAUCCGGGUUGCGGACAGUGUCUGGUGGGUAGUUUGACUGGGGCGGUCUCCUCCUAAAGAGUAACGGAGGAGCACGAAGGUUGGCUAAUCCUGGUCGGACAUCAGGAGGUUAGUGCAAUGGCAUAAGCCAGCUUGACUGCGAGCGUGACGGCGCGAGCAGGUGCGAAAGCAGGUCAUAGUGAUCCGGUGGUUCUGAAUGGAAGGGCCAUCGCUCAACGGAUAAAAGGUACUCCGGGGAUAACAGGCUGAUACCGCCCAAGAGUUCAUAUCGACGGCGGUGUUUGGCACCUCGAUGUCGGCUCAUCACAUCCUGGGGCUGAAGUAGGUCCCAAGGGUAUGGCUGUUCGCCAUUUAAAGUGGUACGCGAGCUGGGUUUAGAACGUCGUGAGACAGUUCGGUCCCUAUCUGCCGUGGGCGCUGGAGAACUGAGGGGGGCUGCUCCUAGUACGAGAGGACCGGAGUGGACGCAUCACUGGUGUUCGGGUUGUCAUGCCAAUGGCACUGCCCGGUAGCUAAAUGCGGAAGAGAUAAGUGCUGAAAGCAUCUAAGCACGAAACUUGCCCCGAGAUGAGUUCUCCCUGAGACUUAGAGUCUCCUGAAGGAACGUUGAAGACGACGACGUUGAUAGGCCGGGUGUGUAAGCGCAGCGAUGCGUUGAGCUAACCGGUACUAAUGAACCGUGAGGCUUAACCUU
rnacentral:rRNA from 1 species